rnacentral:rRNA from 1 species
GUGGGGAAUCUUCCACAAUGGACGAAAGUCUGAUGGAGCAACGCCGCGUGAGUGAAGAAGGGUUUCGGCUCGUAAAGCUCUGUUGUCGGGGACGAAUGUGCAGUAUUUGAAUAAAGUACUGUAAUGACGGUACCUGACGAGGAAGCCACGGCUAACUACGUGCCAGCAGCCGCGGUAAUACGUAGGUGGCAAGCGUUGUCCGGAAUUAUUGGGCGUAAAGGGAGCGCAGGCGGGAAGGUAAGUCGGUCUUAAAAGUGCGGGGCUCAACCACGUGAUGGGAUCGAAACUAUCUUUCUUGAGUGCAGGAGAGGAAAGUGGAAUUCCUAGUGUAGCGGUGAAAUGCGUAGAUAUUAGGAGGAACACCAGUGGCGAAGGCGACUUUCUGGACUGUAACUGACGCUGAGGCUCGAAAGCCAGGGGAGCGAACGGGAUUAGAAACCCGGGUAGUCC